rnacentral:ncRNA from 1 species
UUAAAAACAUUGACGGGAAGAGUAAAUAAAUUUUUAAGUCAUAGCGAGCCGGUGGUGGUGAAAGUCCGGUACUGAUGGAAUUUAUGGAAGAACAUCCCCGAGUUUCCAACCGAAAUCUCAGGAGAGUAGACUUGGACGUGGACUGCACGUUACAGCGGGUAGGUAUCGAUUAUUCUGUACUGAAAUGAGUGAGCUGAUUCAGCUAACUAAGGUGGCACCGCGAAUACAACCUUCGUCCUUAAC